UAUUUUCAGAUCAGAAAAUUUAGAGCGUGGGAACAGAUAACAUGUGUGAAAAACAGAGGGUAGCUAUGGUACAAACCAAACCUGACAGGUUGAAGUGGAAGAGUAAAUUCGAGUUUUUACUGUCCCUUAUAGGAUAUAGUGUAGGAUUGGGUAAUAUUUGGAGAUUUCCGUACCUAUGUGCUUUGAACGGUGGAGCGGUAUUCCUUAUUCCGUACGCCAUAUUUAUGUUUUUAUUGGCGUUUCCACUAUCAUUUUUGGAACUGUCAAUUGGUCAGUUUUCUGGUAAAAGUACAUACGAUGUGUGGGAUAUCUGUCCAGCAUUCAGAGGUUUAGGAGUAGCAAUGGUCGUAGUUACGGGCAUCACUUGUUUAUAUUAUACCAUGAUCCUAGCCUGGAUUUUAUACUAUCUGUUUCAUUCCUUCAUGUCUCCAUUGCCAUGGACGACCUGUGAUAACUGGUGGAAUACAGACACGUGCUUUAUUCACCAAUCCAGAACCGACAAUUUGACCAGCACUGGUGGGAACCACACCAAUAAUUUUACAGUCAGUGUCAAUAACAGGAUCGUUCAA